GUGUAGCGGCAAAUGCGCAGAGAUAUGGAAGGAACACCAGUGGCGAAGGCGGCUCUCUGGUCUGCAACUGACGGUGAGGUGCGAAAGCGUGGGGGAUCAAACAGGAUUAGAUACCCUGGUAGUCCACGCCGUAAACGAUGAGUGCUAAGUGUUAGGGGGUUUCCGCCCCUUAGUGCUGCAGCUAACGCAUUAAAGCACUCCGCCUGGGGAGUACGGCCGCAAGGUUGAAACUCAAAGGAAAUUGACGGGGACCCGCACAAAGCGGUGGAGCAUGUGGUUUAAUUCGAAGCAACGCGAAGAACCUUACCAAAUCUUGACAUCCUCUGACCACCCUGGAGACAGGGUUUCCCUUCGGGGCAGAGUGACAGGUGGUGCAUGGUUGUCGUCAGCUCGUGUCGUGAGAUGUUGGGUUAAGUCCCGCAACGAGCGCAACCCUUAUCAUUAGUUGCCAGCAUUCAGUUGGGCACUCUAAUGAGACUGCCGGUGACAAACCGGAGGAAGGUGGGGAUGACGUCAAAUCAUCAUGCCCCUUAUGAUUUGGGCUACACACGUGCUACAAUGGACAGGUUACAAAGGGCAGCUAAGCCGCGAGGCCAAGCGAAUCCCAUAAAACUGUUCUCA
rnacentral:rRNA from 1 species